rnacentral:rRNA from 1 species
UACGUAGGGUGCAAGCGUUAAUCGGAAUUACUGGGCGUAAAGCGUGCGCAGGCGGUUUUAUAAGUCUGAUGUGAAAUCCCCGGGCUCAACCUGGGAACUGCAUUGGAGACUGUAAGGCUAGAGUGUGUCAGAGGGGGGUAGAAUUCCACGUGUAGCAGUGAAAUGCGUAGAUAUGUGGAGGAAUACCGAUGGCGAAGGCAGCCCCCUGGGAUAACACCGACGCUCAUGCACGAAAGCGUGGGGAGCAAACAGG